rnacentral:misc_RNA from 1 species
GAUGAAGAACGCAGCGAAAUGCGAUAAGUAAUGUGAAUUGCAAAAUUCAGUGAAUCAUCGAAUCUUUGAACGCACAUUGCGCCCCUUGGUAUUCCGAGGGGCAUGCCUGUUCGAGCGUCAUUACACCACUCAAGCUAUGCUUGGUAUUGGGCGUCGUCCUUAGUUGGGCGCGCCUUAAAGACCUCGGCGAGGCCACUCCGGCUUUAGGCGUAGUAGAAUUUAUUCGAACGUCUGUCAAAGGAGAGGAACUCUGCCGACUGAAACCUUUAUUUUUCUAGGUUGACCUCGGAUCAGGUAGGGAUACCCGCUGAACUUAAGCAUAUCAAUAAGCGGAGGA